rnacentral:rRNA from 1 species
UACAGAGGGUGCGAGCGUUAAUCGGAAUUACUGGGCGUAAAGCGUGCGUAGACGGCUAUCUAAGUCGGGUGUGAAAGCCCCGGGCUCAACCUGGGAAUUGCAUUCGAGACUGAAUAGCUAGGGUACGGUAGAGGGAAGUGGAAUUUCCGGUGUAGCGGUGAAAUGCGUAGAUAUCGGAAGGAACAUCAGUGGCGAAAGCGGCUUCCUGGACCAGCACCGACGUCAGGCACGAAAGCCGUGGGGAGCAAACAGGA